UGGGUCGCACGCCCGCCCACUUCCGGGAUCUCGAAGAAGUUGAGCGUCGGGGUUGCGGUGGUGGGGCGAGCUGCCCGCGCUCCCGGGACCGAGGCGGGCCUGCAGACCGCCCGCCGCCCCCCAGGACCCGGCUGGUCGCCCCCUAAGACCGCCCGCCACCCCCAGGUCCACCUGCCGGAGCAGGCGGUGUGUUCUCUGGGCCGCAGGCGAGGAGAGGGGCCAGGUAUGGUCACGCCUCUUUCUCCCCAAGUGAUAAAGCUCAUCUAUUAAAGGAAGCUUUAGGAAUGCGAGUUUCGGGAUUGUUUGACAAGCUACUUCACUGCCUGGUGUAGUUCUUUGGGCAUCAUGAAGCAAACAGCCAGGCUGUGAACAGCCUCCGGGGACCGGGGGCAGCCUCUAGAUCCCAGGGCAGCCAACAAGAAGCCAGGACCCUCAGUCGUCAGCUGCGAGGAAAUGAAUCCUGUAAACACCUUGCAUGGGCCUGGCAGCGGAUUCUCCUCACUGAGACCUCCAGGGGCCCCAGGCAGCAACCGGUGCUCAGAGGCAGUAACCACACUUGGCUGAUGGCCGCUCACUUGGUGCCGCGUGCCGUGUCCUGGACCUCUCACAAAGGUCGGGUGAGUACGUGCUAUUAAUGCCUCAUUUUACAGCAGAGGAAACUGAGUCACGAGUGGGCUCCUCCUUAGCAGGCUAAGGAGACAGAGUAGCGGACCCCAGACGGCCCGGCCUCCUGGCUCUCAGGCAUGGUGUGAGGGGCGCCUGGAGAGAUGGGAGGCCUGCAGGUGACAGAGGCCAGGACCCGCAGCCCUGAGAUGGAAAAGCAGGCUGUGUCACCUUUAAAAGAAAGACCACACGAUUACACCUCCAACAGGCUACAGGUAGGAAGACAGGAAGAGACCUGUUUUCACUAAAGGCCACUCCUCCUAAAUGAAAGGGAUAAGGGUUAUGUAGUGGGUAGCGCCAAAGACCAAAACUUACGCUACAGCACCCAGCUCUGCUUGCUGUAAGGAUGUGAACUGCAGGUAACAGCUCGGUUUGCCAACGGGUUCCUUGGGCAAGGCGGUUCGUGGUAAGCAUCUGGGAACCCUCCCACACAGCACACCUGUUACCGCUUUCCACUUGCAGCAGCUGAAAGUACGGGCAGCCCAGGGAGCACAGGACAUGCCCUGAACAGAGUGCACGCCUCCGGGGUCCUCCCACCAGCUCCCCGCACAGACCCCGGGUACCCGCUCCUCCUGGCGGAGGUGCACGACACCACUCCCCUUUCCUUGGGUCUUUGUCAAAACUGCAGAAGGAACUUGUCCACAGAAAGUAAAGGGAGGAACCCGUGAAAGCAGACGAAUGAACAGUGGCCCCAUCUGAGGGGGGCCUGGCUCCUGGAAUUUCAGGGGUUAUUCGUGUCAACAUUCCCCACCCCUCCAGUCCCUGCUGACACUUUCUAGGGACACAGGAAAAACCCUGACGCUGGGCCUUUGUCUUUGGUGCCGGUCACAUUUCGUCACCUGAGUGGCUCUCCUGCCCCUACAGACCAUAAGUCAUGGUUUUCAUCAAGGAUCCCCUGGGCAGUGCUCUUAAACGGGCUUCUCACCGAACCCUCCCAGCUCCCAGAGGUGAAAUCUGGUUGGUGGCACCUCGAGCCUCUUCCUAGUGGCGGGACUCCAGGCUCAGAACCUGAGAAUCUUGGAUUGUGAGCCAGCAUUCUGUC